UGAUAUUUUUUUUUCUUUUUCUUUUUCUUUUUGAUUCUUUUAUUCCUUUUUUUUAUUCUUUUUCUUAUUCUCUUUCUUCUUUUAACCCUAGUCGUCGUUGGUCGGAGAGCUUCACCAUUAGUGCUUCAACAAAUACAAAACCACUAUCAAAUGAUAGGUCUCAACACCCUCUAUCCAUCAUUCGAUUUAGAUUUUCCCAAAAGGCGACCAAAACCUACAAAAUCCCAACCAAAAGUUCGAAGAUAAAAACCCCAAUCUAUCGGCGUCCACCGUUGGAUUGAUGCAAGCCCGAGAUAUGUUGCUCUCCUCGACCCUUCUCUAUUUUCACCGUUUGAAUUGUUGAAUGGAACUUCAAUGCCCAAAUAACUAAGAAGCCCUAAAAGAUAAGUUCUCUUUGAAAGACUCGUUGUAGGUAUCUCGGAUCAGAUUUGGACACGAGGAUCAUCAUUCGAGACCUCGAAAGUCAGGUGUGUGUUCUUUUACGAGAAAAUUAAGGCAAAAUCGAGCCUAGGUUAGAUUACAUGGCCAGCCACACAGGUGUGUGGGCCACACAGCCACCCUACACAACUAUGUCCCCUUGAAACCCUAGUUUUUCUCUUUUCAUACGGCCUAAGACCCCCCACAAGGCUAUGUCACCCCAAUAGGUUGAAGUUUCGAAUGCCAGACGACCACAGUCUCUCACACGGCCUAGCCACACGGCUGUGUACCCCUUUCACAUAGCCUAGGGCUUCUCACGCAAUCCGGUCACACGACUGUAUGUCCCUUGUAACUUAGAAAUUACAGCUUUAACCUAGAAUUUUAUGUUUUGAUCAGUUUAGUCCUUGAGUAGGUUUUGAACUAUUCUUAGUGAGUUAAAUUAUGCAAUUAGGUCCCCGGAAAAAGGAAAUAUGCUAAAAUCUAUGAUUGAUCGAAUUAAUGCGGUAUUUAUUAAUAUUUAUGAAUAUUUGCAUGAGUUAUGAAUAGUAUAUGUUACUUUUAUAUCUAUAUACUUGUGAUUGUAUGAAUGACAUGCCUUAUAUUACUGUCAAUCUGAAUACAUGAAAAACUUGAUUUCACUAUUGAUUUUCCAUGUAUUAGUACAUCAAAUGCUACCAUACGUGAUUUGUAUUAAAUAUGUCGCACUGCACUGCAUAGAUUAGGAUGAUGUGAUCGAAGGAAGUCUGGCAGUUUAUCUAUAAUAAUCACUUUUAUUGUGCACCCACAGUCGAAGGUAGAUUUCAACUGCAGGUACUGCUGUGUAUCCAUAGCCAAAGGUUGAUUUCAACGACAAGAUUAUGUUGUAGAAUCUACAGCCCAAAAGCAGUUUUCAUCUGCAACACUUUUUGCUGUGAACCUAUAGGCGAAGGUAGAUUCCAACUACAGGAACUUGUUGUGUGUCCACAGCCAAAUGGCAAUUAUUAUAUGCAAACUAGUAGUGGUUUAUCCACAUCUUGGGGUGUUGGAGAAGGGAGUUCUGGGGAACUCCCAUUAUAGUGUGUAUCAGUGAGGUAGGAUUUAUUCUGUUUAAACCCGAAAUUACAUAGCAUUUUUUAAAUUAUAUGCAUACAAAGCUGGAAAUUAUGUUAUGAGGUGUAUAUAUAUGCUUGAAUAUAUAUAUAUCUGUGUAUAUACAUGAUUAUUGUGGGCAAAUAUGAGAAUUUGGUUGUUCUGAAAA